CGGUCCAGGCCUCACGCUGAGCACAGCUGACAGGACACACAGCCAAAGUGAGGAGAAGCUUCUCUUUACCGAUCAGCUGAUUCUUCUUUGGGCCAGCUGCUCAUCUGAAAUGUGAAUUUUCAGCGCAUUAAGAACCGGACAGAGCCCUUCCUGCAUCAUUUUCAAACAAGGCGUGUGUGGCCGGCCCCGCCCUGUGGAACCACGGAGCAGCUCUCUUGUACCAGACUGCCCACUACUCCCAGAAGAAGCUCACCUCUGUCCCACCAGUGCACAGCUGCACAGUCAGAACAGAGGUGGCACAAGCCAAGAACCAUGGAGUAACCAUUGCAUCCUUCAUAUUGUUAAGUGCAAAGCUAGUCAACUCUAUCCUUACCACAGAGAAGAUGAAAAAGUUCAAAUAUCAGCGAACAUCUGGUACAACUGCUGAACACUGUUGUGUGUCUUUAUGCCAGACUACUACAUGCUGGAAGUGUACCAUAUUAAUUUGUCUAGCUUUGUACUAGAACAUAGAAGUCUGUGGAUGGACAACAACCAUAAUUUGUGUGCGUUUGGAGAAUAGUUUCAAUGCAAUCACAUGACAUCACUUUCUUUCACUGUCAUCUGUAUGUUCACCUAUUAAGGAUAUUUCAUUGUUAACUUUGAAUUAACUACUAUUUGUUGAAAUACUUGUUUCUUUUUCAACUGAUGUGUAUGUUUUACUUAAUGUAACUUCAACUUUACUGCUUUUUGUGUUAACAUUUUGGUACUUUGACAUAAACACUUUGGUAUCAAGGCCUGUCAUAUUUUCUCAUUACUUCA